rnacentral:rRNA from 1 species
UACGUAGGGCGCAAGCGUUAUCCGGAAUUAUUGGGCGUAAAGAGCUCGUAGGCGGUUUGUCGCGUCUGCUGUGAAAACCCGAGGCUCAACCUCGGGCCUGCAGUGGGUACGGGCAGACUAGAGUGCGGUAGGGGAGAUUGGAAUUCCUGGUGUAGCGGUGGAAUGCGCAGAUAUCAGGAGGAACACCGAUGGCGAAGGCAGAUCUCUGGGCCGUAACUGACGCUGAGGAGCGAAAGCAUGGGGAGCGAACAGG